rnacentral:rRNA from 1 species
GAUGAACGCUAGCUACAGGCUUAACACAUGCAAGUCGAGGGGCAGCAUGAACUUAGCUUGCUAAGUUUGAUGGCGACCGGCGCACGGGUGAGUAACACGUAUCCAACCUGCCGAUGACUCGGGGAUAGCCUUUCGAAAGAAAGAUUAAUACCCGAUGGCAUAGUUCUUCCGCAUGGUAGAACUAUUAAAGAAUUUCGGUCAUCGAUGGGGAUGCGUUCCAUUAGGUUGUUGGCGGGUAACGGCCACCAAGCCUUCGAUGGAUAGGGGUUCUGAGAGGAAGGUCCCCCACAUUGGAACUGAGACACGGUCCAAACUCCUACGGGAGCAGCAGUGAGGAAUAUUGGUCAAUGGACGAGAGUCUGAACCAGCCAAGUAGCGUGAAGGAUGACUGCCCUAUGGGUUGUAAACUUCUUUUACCUGGGAAUAACGGGCGCUACGCGUAGCGCUGUGCAUGUACCGGGAGAA